CUUAAUAAUCAAUAUAUUAUUCAAGCAUUUAAUAGAGUCUUAAUUCCUUACUUUAUAUACGUGUUUAGGUGAACUGUAUGUUGCUUUCUUCAAUUUAAGUGAACAAAAGACAGUGAUAAGUACAAAGACAUCGUCUCUGGCUGAAGUAUCUUUUUUUGAUGAAUUGAACCAAUUGAGAACUUGAUUUGCAGAGAGCAUAGAUGUUCUUUUGCUUAAUGCUUCAUUAUUUAAGUAGUUCUUUUGCUUAAUGCUUCAUUAUUUACAGGAAGGAGGCAUAGAUGUUUGGGAGCAUGCAUAUUACUUACAGGAAUUGAAUCAAGAGAGUGAGAUUUCAUCGC